UCUGGAUCUCCUGACCUCGUGAUCCGCCUCGGCCUCCCAAACUGCUGGGAUUACAGGCGUGAGCCACCACCCCCGGCCGCAGAAAUAUUUUAAUGCCAUUUUAGAAGAUCAUCAAAACAGAAGACUAACAAGGAUAUUUAGGACCUGAACUCAGCUCUGAAUCAAGUGGACCUGAUAGAUAUCCACAAAACUCUCCACCCCACAAACAACAGAAUAUACAUUCUUCUAAUCACCACAUGACACUCAGAAAUUGGUCACACAAUCAGAAGUAAAACACUCUUCAGCAAAUGCAAAAGAACUGAAAUGAUAGCAAACAAUCUCUAAGACCACAGCACAAUCAAAUUAGAACUCAAGAUCUUAAAAAUUCACUCAAAACUACACAACUACAUGGAAAUUGAACAAACUGCUCCUGAAUGACUCCUUGGUUAAUACUGAAAUUAAGGCAGAAAUCAAGAAAUUCCUUGAAACCAAUGAGAACAAAGAGAUAACAUAACAGAAUCUCUGGGGUGCAGCUCAGCAGUAUUAAGAGGAAAAUGUAUAGCCCUAAAUGUCCACAUCAAAAAGCUAAGAUGAUCUCAAAUUAACAGCCUAACGUCACAACUAAAAGAACUAGAAAACCAAGAGCAAACAAACCCUAAAGCUACCAGAAGACCAGAAAUAACCAAAAUCAGAGUGGAACUGAAGAAGAUAGAGACACACAAAAACUCUUCAAAACUUAAAAAAUCCAGGAGCUGUUUUAUAUUUUUGAAAAAAAAAAUUAAUAAAAUAGUUACACCACUAGCUAGACUAACAAAGAAGAAAGGAGAGAAGAAUCAAACAUGCUCAGAAAUGAUAAAGGGAAUUUCACCACUGACCUCACAGAAAUACAAACAACCAUCAGAGAAUACUAUAAAUAUCCAUAUGCACAUAAACUAGAAAAUCUAGAAUAAAUGAAUAAAGUCCUGGACACAUACACCCUCCCAAGACUGAAACAGGAAGGAAUUGUAUCACUGAAUAGACUAAUAAAAUUUUCUAAAAUCAAGGCAGUAACAAAUAGUCUACCAAGCAAAAAUAGCCCAGGACCAGACAGGUUUACAAAUGAAUUAUACCAGAGGUACAAAGAAGAGCUGAUACAAUUUUUACAAAAAUUAUUCCAAAAAAUUGAAAUUUUUUCCUUAAUUCCUUUAUGAAUCCAGCAUCAUUCUGCUAUAAAAACCUGGCAGAUAUAAAACAAAAGAAGAAAACUUCAGGGCAAUAUGCGUGAUGAACAUAAAUGCAAAAAUUCUCAAUAAAAUAUUGGAGAUCUAAGUCCAAAAGCACACCAAAAAGCUUAUACGCCAUGAUCAAGUUGGCUUCAUCCCUGGGAUGCAAGAUUGGUUUAACAUACACAAAUCAAUAAAUGUGAUUCAUCACAUAAACACAAAUAAAGAUGAAAACCACAUGAUUAUUUCAAGAGAUGUAGAAAAGGCCUUUGAUAAAAUUAAACAACUCUUCAUGUUAAAAACUCUCAAUAAACUAGUUAUUGAAGGAAUAUAACUCCGAAUAAUAAGAGCUGUAUAUGACAAACCCAAAACCAAUAACAUACUGAAUGGGCAAAAGCUGGAAGCAUUCCCCCUUGAAAACCAGCACAAACAAGGAUGAUCUCUCUCACUACUCUUAUUCAACAUAAUAUUGGAAUUUCUAGUGAGGGAAUUAGGCAAGAGAAAAAAAUGUAUUCAAAUAGAGAGGAAGUCAAGUUAACUUUAUUUAAAUAUGUCACGAUUCUAUGUCUAGAAAAUUCCAUCAUUUCAGCCCCAAAGCUUCUAAAGCUCAUAAGCAACUUCAGCAAAGUCUCAAGAUAUAAAAAUGUAUGUGCAGAAAUAACUAGCAUUCCUAUACACUAACAACAGGCAAGCAGAGAGCCAAAUCAUGAAUGAACUCUCAUUCACAAUUGUUACAAAAAGAGUAAGAUUCCUAGGAAUACAGCUAACAAGGGAAGUGAAGUACUUUUUCAAGGAAAUUACAAAUCACUGCUCAAGAAAAUCAGAGAAGACACAAACAAAUUUUUAAAAAGCCCACGCUCAAAAAUAGGAAGAAUCAGUAUUGUUAAAAUGUCGUACUGCCUAAAGUAAUUUAUAAUUCAAUGCUAUUCUCAUUAAACUACCAUUGACAAUCUUCACAGAAUUAUAAAAAAAAAACUAUUUUAAAAUUUACAUGGAACCAAAAAGGAGCUUGAAUAUCCAAGAGAGUCCUAAACAAAAAGAACAAAGCCGGAGCUGAAGGCAUCAUGUUAUCCAACUCCAAACUAUACUACAAGGCUACAGUAACCAAAACAGCAUGGUACUGGUACAAGAACAAACAUGUAGGCCAAUGGAAUUGAAUAAGAAAUGCAGAAAUAACACUGCACUUCCACAAUCAUCUGAUCUUCCAAAAACCUGACAAAAACAAGCAAUGGGGAAAGGAUAUCCUGUAUAAUAAAUGGUGCUGAGAGAACUGGUUACCCAUAUGUAGAAAAUUAAAACUGUACCCAUUCUUUACACCUUAUACAAAAAUGAACUCAAGAUGAAGUAAAUAUUUAAAUGUAAAACCCCAAACUACAAAAUCCCCAUAAGAAAAUCUAGGCAAUACCAUUCAGGACAUAGGCACAGGCAAAGAUUUCAUGACAAAAAAAGCCAAAAUUGAUUGCAACAAAAGCAAAAAUUGACAAAUGGGAUGUAAUUAAAUGAGCUUCUGCACAAGAAAAGAAAUUAUUAUCAGAGUGAACUGACAUCCCACAGAAUCAGAGAAAAAUGUUGCAAUCUAUCCAUCUGACAAAGGUUUAAUACCCCGAGUCUACAAGGAACUUAAAUAAAUUUACAAGGAAAAACAACCCCAUUAAAAAGUGGGCAAAGUACAUAAACAGACACACCUCAAAAGAAGACAUUUAUGAAGCCAAUAAACAUAUGAAACAAAGCUCAACAUCACAGAUCGUUAGAGAAAUGCAAAUCAAAACCACAAUGAGAUAGCAUAUCAUGCCAGUCAGAAUGGCAAUUAUUAAAAAGUUGAGAAACAACAGAUGCUGUUGAGGCUUUGGAGAAAAAGGGAUGCUUUUACACUGUUGGUAGGAGUGUAAAUUAGUUCAAACAUUGUGGAAGACAGUGUGGCAAUUCCUCAACGAUCUAAAACCAGAAAUACCAUUUGACCCAGUAAGCCCAUUACUGGGUAUAUACCCAAAGGAAUAUUAUAUUCUAUUAUAAAGAUAUAUGCAUCCAUAUGUUUAUUGAAGCUUUAUUCACAUCAGGAAAGACAUGAUAUCAACCUAAAUGCUCAUCAAUGAUAGACUGGAUAAAAGAAAAUGUGGUAAAUAUACAUCAUGGAAUACUAAGAAGCCAUAAAAACGAAGAAGAUCAUGUCCUUUGCAGGGACAUAGUUGGAGAUGGAAGCCAUUAUCCUCAGCAAACUAACACAGGAGCAGAAAACCAAAUACUGUAUGUUCUGACUUACAAGUAGGAGCGGAAAGAUGAGAACACAUGGACAGAUGAGGGUGAACCACACACACUGGGGCCUGCUGGGGCAGGGCUGGGAGGAGGGAGAGGAUCAGGAAGAAUAGCUAAUGGAUGCUUGCUGUAAUACCUAGGCGAUGGGAUGAUCUGUGCAGCAAACCACCGUGGCACAUGUUUACCUAUGUAUCAAACCUGCACAUCCUGCACAUAUACACUUGAGCUUAUAAUAAAUGUUGAAGAUUAAAAAAAAUUAUGAUUGUUAAAUCAGAGGAAGUAUGUACUUAGGUAUUACAAGUAGUCGUGUUGUCCAGGAUGAAGCAGAGAGACAGAGAAUGAGAGACAGAGAGAGAGAGAAAGAAAUGGAGAAACUAUAUACAUUUGCAUACAAGUCUUAGUGUGGAUAUAGUUUUCAUUUCCCUUAGGUAGAUAUGUAGGAGUAAAAUCCAAGGGUCAUUUGAUGAGCCUUAAUCUUUUAAUAUAUUCAAAAAUCGUUUUAUGUUUAUAGUGACUGCAUUAAUUUUCAAUGUAUGAAGGUUUCAGUUGCUUUACAUUCUCAUUAAUUCUUGAAGUUGUCAAUCUUUUACAAUUUUAGCAGGCAGUAGAUUUGUAGUGGUUUCUUACUGUGUUGUUAAGUUGUAUUUACCUAAUGGAGGCAGUGUUUACAAUAUCUUAGAAGCAUAUUAGCAUUCGUAUAUCUUGUUUUGUAAAAUACCUAUUCAAAUUGCUCAUUUAAAAUUGUAUUAUUUGUCUUACUGCAUUGUGGGAGUUCUUUAUAUAUUUUGAGUAGAUUUUUAUAUCAGAUAUAUGACUUAAAAAUAUUUCUUUGAAACUGGGCAUUCUCUUCAUUUUCUUAAUGGUGUUAUUGGAUGAGCAAAAAAAUUUGAUGUUUAUAUUUUCCUUUAAGUUUUGUUUGUUUUGUGUCCUAUCAAUUCUAUCAAAGAAAUUUUUGCUAACUCUAAGUCACACAUAUUUUUUUCAAAGUUUUUUUUUAGGAGUUUCUUGAUUUUAGCUCUAAUAUGCAAAUCCACUAUCAAUUUGUGAUUAGAUAUGACACUGUAGGAGUGAAGGAUUUUUUUUUCCUAGAUUGGUAUCUUGUAUUUCAACAUCAUUUGCUGGAAAGACUUAACUUUUCCCAGUGAAUUACCUUAGCAGUUUAAUAGCCAUGAAUUGAAACCAUAUAUACAUGUGGGUCAGCAUAUGGAAGCUCGUUUAUAUUUUAUUGAAGUUGUGAAAGGAAAAUAAAUCUUGGGACCCCCUAAUCACUAAGCCAAAGGGAAAAAACAAACUGGGAACUGAAUCAGGCAAAUCUGCUCCCAUUUUAUUUCUAAUAAGAUACCUACAAAGAUAAAAAAGCUGCAUACUUCCCUCACAAUUUGCCUACAGGAAUUUCUUUGCCGGCUACAAGAUCUCUAUCCUAAAACAUUUCUGUUGAAUUUCACCUUGGCAAUGUAUGUUGAUAGCUUGUCUUCACAGGUUCAGGACAAAGGACAGAAUUCAGUCAUCCCCCUGUUCACCAGAGACAAACGCGUAUCUUAUUGCUUCCUCUGUCCUAUUGUUUAUGUGAAAAUGGAGAUUCACUGAACCAGUCUAAGGCAAAAGUGAUUAUUCCUUUACCCCAGAAUCAUGUGGAAAUUGUGUAUUUAGUUAAAGCCUGAUCUAAGACUCAAAAUAAUGCAACUCUUUGUCUCUUAGCUAUCUAUGACCAGGAAGCUCCUCUCCCUUACCCCUCCUUCAAGUUAUUCCACCUUUCCGGAAAGAAGCAAUGUACAUCUUACACAUAUUGAUUGAUGUCUCAUGUCUCUAUAAAAUGUAUAAAACCAAGCUUUACCCCGAUCACCUUGGGCACCUGUCAUCAGAACCUCCUGAGGCUAUGUCAUGGAUGCAUCCUUAACCUUGACAAAAUAAACUUUCUAAAUUUAUUGGGGCCUGUCUCAGAUACUUUUUGGUACACAACUUAUAUGUUUAUGCUUAGGUAAUUAUCAUACUCUCAAG
rnacentral:lncRNA from 1 species